rnacentral:rRNA from 1 species
UACGAAGGGGGCUAGCGUUGCUCGGAAUUACUGGGCGUAAAGGGCGCGUAGGCGGCUUUGUAAGUUAGAGGUGAAAGCCCGGGGCUCAACCCCGGAAUUGCCUUUAAGACUGCAUCGCUAGAAUUGUGGAGAGGUAAGUGGAAUUCCGAGUGUAGAGGUGAAAUUCGUAGAUAUUCGGAAGAACACCAGUGGCGAAGGCGACUUACUGGACACAUAUUGACGCUGAGGUGCGAAAGCGUGGGGAGCAAACAGG